rnacentral:snRNA from 1 species
GCUAUUGAGGGCGAUCUGGCUGCGACAUCUGUCACCCCAUUGAUCACCAGGGUUGAUUUGGCUGACCUGGCUGGCUAGGCAGGUAUCUCCUUCCUCCCUCACCGCUCCAUGUGCGUCCCUCCCGAAGUUGCACGCUCAGUGGAAGAGGAUGGCCUUCCCUGAAUUGAGACGGACCGGUCUUCAGUCGAGGGUAUACGAGUAGCUGCGCUUCCCUGCUAGAACAAACAAGCUCUCAAGGUCCAUAUUAUUAUUAUUAUUAUUAUUUUAUUUAAGCUUUAAUUUGAGUGAUAGCACAGCGGAUAGGGCAUUUGACUUGCACGCGGCUGACCCAGGUUCGAUU